rnacentral:rRNA from 1 species
UACGUAGGGCGCAAGCGUUGUCCGGAUUUAUUGGGCGUAAAGAGCUCGUAGGCGGCCUGUCGCGUCGACUGUGAAAACCCGCGGCUUAACCGUGGGACUGCAGUCGAUACGGGCAGGCUCGAGUUCGGUAGGGGAGACUGGAAUUCCUGGUGUAGCGGUGAAAUGCGCAGAUAUCAGGAGGAACACCGGUGGCGAAGGCGGGUCUCUGGGCCGAUACUGACGCUGAGGAGCGAAAGCGUGGGGAGCGAACAGG